CGGAGGGGGUGCGGGCAUCAUUGUCAGGUACAAGGGGCCGGAUACGGGCGGAAGGGAGCAGCUGAUGCCGUCAUCCCGGAUGCUCAUCUGCCGCGACGAGGACGAGAAGAAGGAAGCCGCCAAGGCUGUGGCGCC
rnacentral:SRP_RNA from 11 species